rnacentral:rRNA from 1 species
UACGUAGGGGGCAAGCGUUGUCCGGAUUUAUUGGGCGUAAAGAGCGUGUAGGCGGCUUGGUAGGUCCGCUGUGAAAACUCGAGGCUCAACCUCGAGAUGUCGGCGGAAACCACUUGGCUAGAGUCCGGAAGAGGAGAGUGGAAUUCCUGGUGUAGCGGUGAAAUGCGCAGAUAUCAGGAGGAACACCGGUGGCGAAGGCG